CCUACGGGUGGCAGCAGUGAGGAAUAUUGGUCAAUGGACGCAAGUCUGAACCAGCCAUGCCGCGUGCAGGAAGACGGCUCUAUGAGUUGUAAACUGCUUUUGUACGGGGGUAAACGCAGAUACGCGUAUCUGUCUGCAAGUAUCGUACGAAUAAGGAUCGGCUAACUCCGUGCCAGCAGCCGCGGUAAUACGGAGGAUUCAAGCGUUAUCCGGAUUUAUUGGGUUUAAAGGGUGCGUAGGCGGUCGGAUAAGUUAGAGGUGAAAUCCCGAGGCUCAACUUCGGAAUUGCCUUUGAUACUGUUCGGCUGGAGAGUAGUUGCGGUAGGCGGAAUGUAUGGUGUAGCGGUGAAAUGCUUAGAGAUCAUACAGAACACCGAUUGCGAAGGCAGCUUACCAAGCUACUUCUGACGUUGAGGCACGAAAGCGUGGGGAGCAAACAGGAUUAGAUACCCUUGUAGUC
rnacentral:rRNA from 1 species